ACGAACGCUGGCGGCGCGCUUAAUACAUGCAAGUCGAACGAGAAGGUGUAGCAAUACACUUGUAAAGUGGCGAACGGGUGAGGAAUACAUGGGUAACCUACCCUCGAGUGGGGAACAACCAGCCGAAAGGUUGGCUAAUACCGCGUACGCUUCCGGGUCUUCGGACUCGGAAGGAAAGUCAUACCGUGGGUAUGACGCUCAAGGAUGGGCUCAUGUCCUAUCAGCUUGUUGGUGGGGUAACGGCCUACCAAGGCUCCGACGGGUAGCUGGUCUGAGAGGACGAUCAGCCACACUGGCACUGCGACACGGGCCAGACUCCUACGGGAGGCAGCAGUAAGGAAUAUUGCGCAAUGGGCGAAAGCCUGACGCAGCGACGCCGCGUGGGGAUGAAGGUCUUCGGAUUGUAAACCCCUUUCGGGAGGGAAAAUGGAACGAGCAAUCGUUCGGAUGGUACCUCCAGAAGCAGCCACGGCUAACUUCGU
rnacentral:rRNA from 1 species